GAUCAUGGCUCAGGACGAACGCUGGCGGCACGCCUAACACAUGCAAGUCGAACGAGAGAAGAGAAGCCUGCUUUUCUGAUCUAGUGGCGGACGGGUGAGUAACACGUGAGCAAUCUGCCUUUCAGAGGGGGAUACCGAUUGGAAACGAUCGUUAAUACCGCAUAAUAUAAUUGAACCGCAUGAUUUGAUUAUCAAAGAUUUAUCGCUGAAAGAUGAGCUCGCGU
rnacentral:rRNA from 1 species